CCCAGACUCCUACGGGAGGCAGCAGUGGGGAAUAUUGCACAAUGGGGGGAACCCUGAUGCAGCGACGCCGCGUGAGUGAAGAAGUAUUUCGGUAUGUAAAGCUCUGUCAGCAGGGAAGAAGAAAGACGGUACCUGACCAAGAAGCCCCGGCUAACUACGUGCCAGCAGCCGCGGUAAUACGUAGGGGGCAAGCGUUAUCCGGAUUUACUGGGUGUAAAGGGAGCGUAGACGGCAGGGCAAGUCUGGAGUGAAAGGCGGGGGCCCAACCCCUGGACUGCUCUGGAAACUGUCCGGCUGGAGUGCAGGAGAGGUAAGUGGAAUUCCUAGUGUAGCGGUGAAAUGCGUAGAUAUUAGGAGGAACACCAGUGGCGAAGGCGGCUUACUGGACUGUAACUGACGCUGAGGCUCGAAAGCGUGGGGAGCAAACAGGAUUAGAUACCCUGGUAC
rnacentral:rRNA from 1 species